GGGAAGCCUGACCUUGUUUUUCGGCUUGUAGGGAACUCCACCCGCAAUCCAGUCUGGCCUGAGCAUUUUGCUCCGGCACCUGUGCGUGACAUCCGUCUGUCCUUUCAUUCAGGAAAACAGCUGAGCCCAGGAGGUUCCAGACCCUGGAUACCUGAGACACAUCGACUUGCUUCUUAGGUUUGGAGUGCAUAAUGAGGAGAAAUAAAAAUAGAAAGAUCUCCAGAAAGAAGCCAUGGGAAGAUUCAAGGCUUCCCAGUCCAAGCUAAUACCUGUGGACACUUGACCAAGUGAGCUGAGAAAACUGGAUUCCUGGCAAAACAAGCGUAACUAGACUCAGGCAAGGGUGGAGCACAGAGGGCAACUAGAUGAAAUGAAAAGAAUGCCCAGGCAUCCCAGUGCCCCCAUUGAUGUUCCAGAACUUCGUCGACCAUGCAGAAUACCUUCCAGCCCCGUGAACACUAAUCACUCAGUCAGUAAUGGUGAACUUCUAACUGCGCUUUGGCUCAAUAUUCUCAUGAUUGAUGAUCGUUCAGAAUCAAGCUCAGAAGCUCCCAGCUCCCAGCAAGUACUCUACUACUGAACUACACCAUCUCUCCAGCCCAUGCUUACUCUUGAAUAGCCACAAAGUAUUCAAUGGUGUGGGCCUUGAAAGGAACUACCUGCUCUGCCCCCUGACUGCUUCUGCCUCUACCUCAAUGUACCGAGACUGUUUGACAAGUUUGCUCUGGCUCAGGCUGAGAAAUUGACUCCACUCUUACCCUGACCCCUGGCAUGUCCACAUCUGGUCCUGUGUAGUCACCAACCCCAGAGAACAAGUUACAAGAAAUUAAAGACACAGAAUUCCAAAGGAAAAUACAUGUUCAACAAGCUCAAAACAUCCAGAGAGGGCACAGAUAGCUACAUGAAUGAAAUUAAAGACAACAGGAAUAAAAUGAUGGGAGUCCAAGUAUACAAAAACACAGCUCAGCAAAACAUGGA
ensembl:processed_transcript